UACGAAGGGGGCUAGCGUUGCUCGGAAUCACUGGGCGUAAAGCGCACGUAGGCGGCUUUUUAAGUCAGAGGUGAAAUCCUGGAGCUCAACUCCAGAACUGCCUUUGAUACUGGAGAGCUUGAGUCCGGGAGAGGUGAGUGGAACUGCGAGUGUAGAGGUGAAAUUCGUAGAUAUUCGGAAGAACACCAGUGGCGAAGGCGGCUCACUGGCCCGGUACUGACGCUCAGGUGCGAAAGCGUGGGGAGCGAACAGG
rnacentral:rRNA from 1 species